AGAACGAACGCUGGCGGCAUGCCUAACACAUGCAAGUCGAACGAGACCUUCGGGUCUAGUGGCGCACGGGUGCGUAACGCGUGGGAAUCUGCCCUUGGGUACGGAAUAACAGUUAGAAAUGACUGCUAAUACCGUAUAAUGACUUCGGUCCAAAGAUUUAUCGCCCAGGGAUGAGCCCGCGUAGGAUUAGCUUGUUGGUGAGGUAAAGGCUCACCAAGGCGACGAUCCUUAGCUGGUCUGAGAGGAUGAUCAGCCACACGUGGACUGAGACACGGCCCAGACUCCGUACGGGAGGCAGCGAGUGGGAAUAGUUAGGACAAGUCGGGACGAAAGCCGUCGACUACCGA
rnacentral:rRNA from 1 species